rnacentral:rRNA from 1 species
UACGUAGGGGGCAAGCGUUGUCCGGAUUUAUUGGGCGUAAAGAGCGUGUAGGCGGCCAGGUAGGUCCGCUGUGAAAACUCGAGGCUCAACCUCGAGAUGUCGGCGGAAACCAUCUGGCUAGAGUCCGGAAGAGGAGAGUGGAAUUCCUGGUGUAGCGGUGAAAUGCGCAGAUAUCAGGAAGAACACCCGUGGCGAAGGCGGCUCUCUGGGACGGUACUGACGCUGAGACGCGAAAAGCGUGGGGAGCGAACAGG